rnacentral:rRNA from 1 species
UACGUAGGGUGCAAGCGUUGUCCGGAAUUAUUGGGCGUAAAGAGCUUGUAGGCGGUUUGUCGCGUCUGCUGUGAAAUCCCAGGGCUUAACCCUGGGCCUGCAGUGGGUACGGGCAAACUAGAGUGCGGUAGGGGAGAUCGGAAUUCCUGGUGUAGCUGUGAAAUGCGCAGAUAUCAGGAGGAACACCGGUGGCGAAGGCGGAUCUCUGGGCCGUAACUGACGCUGAGGAGCGAAAGCAUGGGUAGCGAACAGG